rnacentral:lncRNA from 1 species
UUGCAGUUUAGGUUUUACCAGAUCCACAGAACACCUGUUUCUUUGAUCCUCCUAUAAUCUGUUCAUCAAGAUGAAUAUGCUGCCAGCAUAGGCAAGUGUACCCCUGCACAGAGCUUUCUGCAUGCCCUGAAGAGGCAGCACAUUAGCUAGCCCUGAGUCAUCCAGUGUGUGAAUCAGCUUUAGAUAAAGCGCCAAAAAGCCUCUCUGAAGGAUGUGAUCUAUACAGAUGCUACAGAGCCAGAUUGGACUAACACUCUGCUGUUUCUGGUAAAAGGGACCUUCAAGAAAGUGUACUAGCAGAAGCAGAAGGAGCUGCUCAAACAGUAUGAGAAGCAGGAGAAGAAGCUGAAAGACCUUAAGGCCGGUAGAAAAUGCACAAAACAGGUGGAAAAACAGACAAAAGAGGCCUUGACCUGGAAGCUGCAGAAAUUCUGCAAGGAGAACCAGGACGAGAAGUCCAAUGAGGCCCCAAGCUGCUGAAGAGGCCUUGGGAAAACAGUGAAAUUCAUCUUCCCCAACCCCCUACUGCUUAG